rnacentral:lncRNA from 1 species
CCAAGUCCUUCUUCACAGUCUCUGGAGAAGUUGACACUAAGGCCAUCGACAAGAGUGCUAAGGUUGGAUUGGCUCUCUCUCUCAAGCCUUGAUAAUGAGCCAUCCCAAGUAGUAGUUUAUUUAUACUCCCUCUUGCUUGGUUUUAAUGGCGGGCUACUUGCUAAUCUUUUUUCCCCCAUUUUCUUGUUGGAUUUGUAGAAGAGAAUAAUAAUAAGGUUGACAGAAAAGAUGGUUUGUUUUGGUGAUAUGAUGAAGCACUAAACGAUCUUUAUGUUUCUUUACUAUGCACUGUGUUUCCUUCUACUCUGAUGUUACCCUUUUAACAUGUUUAAUCUUCUUUGUUGUUCGGCAUUUUAUUCGAUAUCUAUCAGUUUAGCUCUUCCUUUGAUGUUGUUUCUUUUACGAUUGAGUAAUGUGAUAGCUGAUUUGGUGGCAAAAUCAGCUCUCUCAUUGUUUAACUCCUCAUGGAGUGUAGACUCUCUUAUGUUAUGAAAUGAAGUGCGUUUGAUCAAAAAAAAAAAAAAAAGGGGAAUAACAAGAAGAUGGAGGUUGUUGGGAAAGGGAACACCAAACUGAUGUUGAACGGAGCAAACUACGUAAUAAGUGACGUGUAUUACGUACCAGAACUCAAAAAUAACCUCUUGAGUCUUGGACAGCUUCAAGAAAAACGGAUCACAAUCAUCAUUCAAAAAGGCUACUGCAAAAUCUAUCAUGAAGAGAGGGGUUUGAUAGCUGAGAGUAGGAUGAGCUCAAACCGUAUGUUUGCACUAGCUGAUCAAGGAAGAGGUGAUUCAAACUCAAGUGAACAGAGGUGCCUGAAGACAACUUCUGAAGAUGUGCCAAAAUUAUGGCAUGAGCGUUAUGGCCACUUAAGUCACCGAGGAAUUAAAGCACUACAGAGCAAAGGCAUGGUGAGGGGUCUACCAGACUUUGGGGUUCAGAGCUUUACGUGUCCAGACUGUCUGGUGGGGAAGCAACCAAGAAAGGCCAUACCGAAGAAGAGUACAUGGAGAGCAAAAGAGGCAUUGGAACUAAUCCACUCGGAUAUCUGUGGUCCAAUCAAUCCCACUUCCAACAGUGGAAUGAGGUACAUUCUAUGUUUCAUAGACGACUAUAGCAGAAAGGGUUGGGUGUAUCUACUGAAGAAUAAGUCUGAUGCCUUCACUGAGUUCAAAACGUUCAAGAAGAUGGUAGAAACUGAGACCGGGAAGGUGAUCAAAGGCUUAAGGACAGACAGGGGAGGAGAAUACACCUCACUAGAGUUCUCAGACUACUGCAAGGAGCACGGAAUCAGACGCCAACUGACCACAUCCUACACUCCUCAACAGAACGGCAUAGCCGAGAGAAAGAACCGCACUGUCAUGAACAUGGUGAGGUCAAUGUUUUCUAACAAGAAGAUGCCAAAGAUCUUAUGGCCCAAGGCUGUGAAGUGGACUUUCUAUGUUCUCAACAGGUGCCCCACUAUAGCCGUGAAAAACGUCACACCACAAGAGGCAUGGAGCGGGAUGAAGCCGAGUGUGGAACACUUCAGAGUCUGGGGAUGCAUUGCACAUGUCCACAUUCCUGAUCAGAAACGAAGCAAGCUCGAUGAUAAGAGCACACCAUGUGUUCUACUUGGAUACUCUGAAGAAUCCAAAGCCUACAGACUGUACAAUCCAAAGACUAAGAAGAUGAUGACAAGUCGAGAUGUGGUGUUUGAGGAAACAAAAGAAUGGGAUUGGAACGAGGAUCAAGAUCAUCUCACGGAAGGAUCGUUAACAUGGAAUGGAGAUGAUGUGGAUUGGGAAGAAAGUGAUGAAGAAGACAACAAUGGAGAGGUGGAAGAUAACAACAACGAGACUGAGCAGCCUGUAGAAGACGCAGUAGAGAAUCAAGAAGAACAUACUGCAGAGAUCAGGGAGGGCAGAGCCAGAAGACCUCCAAGCUACUUAAAAGACUAUGUGCACUGCAUUGAAACCAUUGAUAAUGAAGAAGAAGUGGUCAACAUGGUGGAGAUAAAUGCAACAGAUCCUGUAAACUUUGAGGAAGCAGAAAAAAACUUGAAGUGGAGAGAUGCGAUGACAGAAGAGAUAAACUCCAUUGAGAAGAAUCAGACGUGGGAGCUGUGCACGUUACCUAAUGGAGCCAAGUGCAUAGGCGUGAAGUGGAUUUACAAAACCAAGCUGAAAGAGCUCGGAGAAAUUAUUAAGCAUAAGGCGAGGCUGGUAGCUAAGGGAUAUUCUCAGGAGCUUGGAAUCGAUUACACUGAAGUAUAUGCUCCCGUUGCACGCAUGGACACCAUUAGAACCAUUCUAGCCACUGCAGCUCAGAAGUCAUGGAUCGUGUACCAGCUCGACGUCAAGUCAGCAUUUCUUCACGGAAUCCUCACUGAAGAUGUCUUCAUACAACAACCUAAAGGGUACGUAGUGGAGGGACAUGAAGACAGCGUCUACAAGCUUCACAAGGCAUUGUAUGGUCUGAAGCAAGCUCCAAGGGCCUGGUUUAGUCGCAUUGAAGAAUACUUUCUGAAAGCUGGCUUCGCAAAGUCACAGAACGAGGAGACAUUGUUUCUCAAGGUCGACAAUCAAGGUAAUAUCCUGAUUGUGAGUGUGUACGUUGAUGACCUUAUUUACACAGGAAGCAGUCUUGAGAUGAUGAUGGAGUUCAAGAAGUCUAUGCAAGACGAGUUCGACAUGACUGAUCUUGGGAGGAUGAGGUAUUUCUUGGGCAUUGAGGUGCAUCAGAAGGUGAAUGGAAUUCACAUAUCUCAAGCCAAGUACGCUCAGGAGAUUCUCAAACGGUUCGACAUGGAGGAUUGCAAUUCAGUUACAAAUCCUAUGGUGCCUGGAGAGAAGCUUGACAUGGAUGCUGAAGGAGAAAGAAUAGACGAGACACUCUAUAAGCAAAUGAUUGGGAGUCUCAUGUACAUUACAACCACACGACCUGACCUGCAAUUCUCGGUGAACUUACUCAGUCGCUUCAUGUCAAAACCUACAAGACUCCACGCACAAGCUGUGAAGAAGGUACUGAGGUACUUAAAGGGGACAACAGACUUUGGUAUUUGGUACAAUGGAGGAGGAACAGGGGAGCUAUGUGUCUACACUGACAGCGACUUUGCUGGAGAUAUCGAUAGCAGAAAGAGUACCUCAGGGUAUGUUUUUCUUUUGGAUAAUGGGGCAGUUGCAUGGUGUUCUAAGAAGCAGCCAAUAGUUACUUUGUCCACGACUGAAGCCGAGUAUGUGGCGGCAUCAGUUUGCGCAUGUCAAGCUAUUUGGUUCAAAAGAGUUAUGAAGGAGUUGGGACAUGAGAUGAACGAGAGCACCAUUAUUCAAUGCGACAACACGUCAACAAUUAAGUUAUCUAAGAACCCUGUAUUUCAUGGGCGUUGCAAGCAUAUUGGUGUCAGGUUUCAUUUCUUACGUGAUCUGGUAAAUGAAGGAGAGAUAAGCUUGGAACAUUGCGGUACUGAAGAACAAGUUGCUGAUGUAUUCACAAAGGCAUUAAAGAGGGAAGUGUUCGAGAAGAUGAGAAGCAGACUUGGAGUCUGCUCAGUCAAGGAUAAGCUGAAUCUUGAAGACCAAGUUUAGCUUAGGGAGGGUUUGUUGGAGCAAAACUACCAUUUGAAGUUUGGAGCCGUUGGAGGUUUGAUUUAGUCUUUCACGUUUGUUAGUUGUUUCAAUAAUGUCCUAUUCUUUAGGACCAAGUAGUUUCCAGUUCUAGUGGUUUAGUUGCGUUAGUUGUUGCUUUAUUUCAGGAGCUCUUUAUUUCAUUGUAAUGCUACUUAUAGCUAUUGCUUUCAGUUGAAUACAAUCAGAGUUUCAUAAACACAAAACAGAGCAUUUGGGAUUACAAAUCUUUCAUGGGUUGGCUCUGUAAAUAAUCAAAUUUUUUUAUAAAAAAAUGCGUUGACAUGCGCAGACCUGCUGUACAAGGACCACAACAGCGACCAGAAAUUGAGUAUCACCACUCACUCUCCUGCCGGUGUUGUAAGUUUCUAUUCAACUACGCUUCCUUUUUAGCAGUUGCAUUCUUACUAAUGAUAAUAGAGUAUGAGCUCUUCUUUAAUAUAUGCGUGUCUGUGUUCUUACUCUUUUUUUGUUUUAUUGAUUAGCUUUAUUUCUUUACCUCUGUUACAAUCUUUAGGCCAUCACAUCAACUGGAACCAAGAAAGGUGAAUCACUCUUGGGAGAUGUAGCUUUCCAACUCACGCAAAAAAACAUCACCACCCAUUUCAAAGUUUCCACUGACAACACCGUAUGCCUUUUUCUACCAAAUACAUUCUUCCUUUUAGCUCAUCUGAGUAUCUUAACUAUUCUUCUAUUAUUUGUUUCAGGUUUUGAUCACUGCUACCGUUGAUGAGGCUGCCCCUGGAUUGAAGUCCAUCUUCAGCUUCAGGGCCCCUGACCAAAACUCCGGCAAGGUAGGCCUUUCUUCUUCUCUUUUCAACCCCAAUCCAUCUACACUUGUUCUAUUUUUGCUGAUCAUUCUUACUUUCUUUCAUACAGAUUGAGCUUCAGUAUUUACAUGACUACGCUGGUAUCAGCACCAGCAUGGGAUUGACUCAGAACCCCACUGUCAACUUCUCCGGUGUUAUUGGGAACAAUGCCUUGGCUGUUGGUACUGACGUUUCCUUGGACACCAAAUCCGGCAAUUUCACCAAGAUCAAUGCUGGCCUCAACUUCACCAAGGAUGAUUUAAUUGCUUCCCUUACCCUGUAAGUCAAUGAAUUCCUGUGGAUGAAAGAUGUGGUUCUUAUCAGUCUUGUUUGUUCAGGAACGACAAAGGAGAUUCCGUCAACGCCUCAUACUACCACAUUGUUAACCCGCUGUUCAACACUGCUGUUGGAGCUGAAGUGAACCACAAAUUCUCUACCAAGGUCAAUACGAUAACCGUGGGAACGCAGCAUUCGAUUGACCCCUUAACCAUAGUGAAAGCACGUGUGAACAGUGCGGGGAUAGCCAAUGCACUCAUUCAACACGAGUGGUCGCCCAAGUCCUUCUUCACAGUCUCUGGAGAAGUUGACACUAAGGCCAUCGACAAGAGUGCUAAGGUUGGAUUGGCUCUCUCUCUCAAGCCUUGAUAAUGAGCCAUCCCAAGUAGUAGUUUAUUUAUACUCCCUCUUGCUUGGUUUUAAUGGCGGGCUACUUGCUAAUCUUUUUUCCCCCAUUUUCUUGUUGGAUUUGUAGAAGAGAAUAAUAAUAA